rnacentral:snRNA from 1 species
AUAUUACAUGGCAGGGGAGAUACCAUGAUCAGGAAGGUGGUUCACCGAGGAUGAGACUCUUCCACUGCAGUGAGGCUGUACAGGCCCCUGCGAAUCUCAACUGCAUAAUUUCUGGCAGUGGGGGACUGUGUUCAUGCUCUCCCCUG